rnacentral:misc_RNA from 1 species
GUCCCCACGCGUGUGGGG